UAAAAAGGAGGAGGGGAGAGAGGAGUCAGGCCCAGCCCCCCAGUAAAAAGGAGGAGGGGGGGGGGAAGUCAGGCCCAGCCCCCCAGUAAAAAGGAGGAGAGAGGAGUCAGGUCCAGCCCCCAGUAAAAAGGAGGAGGGGAGAGAGGAGUCAGGCCCUGCCCAGGCUAUCACGCCUCAGGAUAUGAUCCAGAUGCAGACACAGGAGACGGAUAGUACAGUUCUCAGAUCAUUUAUUAUAACACGGGGGCAGGCAAAGGGCAGGUCGACGGACAGGCAGAGGUUCAUAAUCAGUUAUGAAGGCAGGCAGGCUCAGCUUGUGCCAUAAAUUAAUAUGAAAAAUUGAGGAUUAGCUGAUAACUGCAAAACAAACAUUCUGGAUAAUAUAGUAAACCUUGAACUAUUUAUUGAUCAGCAUUUUGAUAUGCUCGAAAAAGUAUCAGAUACAUAAAGACAAACAAGAGAAUACCUUUCCUCAAGCUCUGCGAGCGUAACUGAAGGGAAGUCGCGGUCUAAAAUUAAAAAUGUAACAUUGGAGGGGGACGUUUUUAUAACUACGUCUCCAGAAGAGAGAGUAUUACUUACAACAAUGACCGAGCAGUUAAAAAAAUGGAUCUAUUGGCUACUGGGGGAGGUUGAGGCCUUAAAGAAAUUUUAGCAAAUGUUGUUCACACCAGUUACUGACUGGUUUUCUGAUCUACGCCAAUACCUUUUUUUCAACGUAUCUGUGACCAAAAGAUGCAUAUCGGUAUUCCCAGUCAUGUGAAAUCCAUAGACGGAUCCAUAGAGGGCCUAAUGAAUUCAUUUCAAUUGACUGAUUUCUUCACAUAAACUGUGACUCAGUAAAAUCCUUGAAAUUG